CGAACCAUGCAAACGUUAUUCGGAUUCACUGGGCUUAAAGCGUGCGUAGGCGGUCUUGUUAGUCAGGUGUGAAAGCCCUCAGCUCAACUGAGGAACUGCGCUUGAUACUGCAUGACUAGAGAAUGAUAGAGGUGGGUGGAACUGAUGGUGGAGCGGUGAAAUGCGUUGAUAUCAUCAGGAACACCAGUGGCGAAGGCGACCCGCUGGGUCAUUUCUGACGCUGAGGUACGAAAGCUAGGGUAGCGAACGGGAUUAGAUACCCCGGUAGUCCUAGCCGUAAACGAUGAGCACUAGAUCGGGGACCUCCACAGGUUCCUGGUCGUAGCGAAAGUGUUAAGUGCUCCGCCUGGGGAGUAUGGUCGCAAGGCUG
rnacentral:rRNA from 1 species